rnacentral:rRNA from 1 species
CCCUUAGAUGUUCUGGGCCGCACGCGCGCUACACUGAUGCAUGCAACGAGUUCUAUCCUUGGCCGGAAGGCCUGGGUAAUCUGUGAACGUGCAUCGUGAUAGGGAUAGAUUAUUGCAAUUAUUAAUCUUGAACGAGGAAUUCCUAGUAAACGCAAGUCAUCAGCUUGCAUUGAUUACGUCCCUGCCCUUUGUACACACCGCCCGUCGCACCUACCGAUCGAAGGUAAUGAUGAGCCCUCAGGAUUGUGGCCUCGUCGCGUCAGCGUCUCGGCUGCGAGAAUCUGUGCAAAUCCCUACCUUUAGAGGAAGGUGAAGUCGUAACA